rnacentral:lncRNA from 1 species
GUACUGAAGGAUGUGAAGCUUAUGUUGCUGUCAGGCAAUAAAUUAUGCAACCUACUUCCAGCGUCAAAGACAGGUAGAGUUGAAAGUUCCAUUUGCAUGUACAUCAAAAUCAUAGUUCAGAAUCUCUGUAAAAGGCCCAAACCAGUUUCCCAUAACACCAGCCUCUAGACCAUACAUUUACUUAUAUUUGUUUUAUUAGACCUGCAUUGGCGAUGAUCUUGAACGCAGAAAAGAAAGGAUUAAUAACUUCUGGAAAGGUCAGUCUAUAUUUUUGUAGUAUGCAGAAGAUUGAUCAUCAACAUUUUAUUUAGUUCGUUAAACUUCGAUAGAGUAAUAUCUUUAUUGAGUAAGCUAUCCAUUGGGUCCUAAAAAAUUACUACUUUUGAUUGUGUUUGUUGUAUAGACACAUUUGAUUGAGCUUACAUCAGGAGGAGAGCCUUUGGCGCAAAUUUGAUCCUCACAUAUCCAACUAAGGUGAUGGGAGGAACAGUUAAAAAAAACCUUACAACCUCUUAAAACCACACCAAAUGCUUACAUGCUACAACAAUUUACACAAGUACCUACUUACUCCGUAUUUGUUCUCUCAUUUGCAUUAAAUUCAUAUUUGUUGCAUGUAAACAGUCUUCAAAAUGAUUCUGGAUUAAUUCUGCACUAGCACUAAAUCUGAUUUGGUUGGCUCCAUCACUAUAAUCACUAUCUGAAAGAACAUGUUGUCUGAUUGGUUUAUCUAACUAAUAUUAUUCAAUAAAACAACUACAUUUUGAGACUACAGGGCAUGAGAUAUCAGAGAACAUGGCUGCUUAGGCAUGGCUGGAGGUUGCCAAACAUGGAUUAAAAAGGAGCUGCAGGAUUAUAGAUGUAUUGUUUGACUGGCAAAAUUUCACAGCUGGGAUCUAAAGCAGUGAUUGUCUAUCAUUUUGCAGCAGCAGGGUAGGGGUUGGAGAGAGCAUCAGUCUGCAGCAAAGUUAGUAUUUAAAGGGUAUAAGACUAUAAGUUAAAAAUCUAUACAAGUUGUGUAGCUGUAA